rnacentral:rRNA from 1 species
CCUACGGGAGGCAGCAGUAAGGAAUAUUGGUCAAUGGAGGCAACUCUGAACCAGCCAUGCCGCGUGCAGGAAGACGGCCCUAUGGGUUGUAAACUGCUUUUAUAAGGGAAUAAACCUCUGGAUGCGUCCGGAGCUGAAUGUACUUUAUGAAUAAGGAUCGGCUAACUCCGUGCCAGCAGCCGCGGUAAUACGGAGGAUCCAAGCGUUAUCCGGAUUUAUUGGGUUUAAAGGGUGCGUAGGCGGUUUAUUAAGUCAGUGGUGAAAGUCAACAGCUUAACUGUUGAAUUGCCAUCGAUACUGGUAAACUUGAGUAUGGAUGAAGUGGGCGGAAUGAGUCAAGUAGCGGUGAAAUGCAUAGAUAUGACUCAGAACACCAAUUGCGAAGGCAGCUCACUAAGGCAUAACUGACGCUGAGGCACGAAAGCGUGGGGAUCAAACAGGAUUAGAUACCCUGGUAGUCCACGCCCUAAACAAUGAUUACUCGAUGUCGGCGAUACACCGUCGGCGUCCAAGCGAAAGCGAUAGUAAUCCACCUGGGGAGUACGUUGCAAGGAGAGAAGANANAGAGUUAGAGNGNGAGAGNGCGAGCGACGACGAGGAGGAGG